UUUGUGAACUGUUCAAAGUUCAAACAGUACAACACUUGCAUUGAGUAACUGAAGUUGGAAACCGAAUCAAAGACAAAAGAGAAAGUCCUCUUUUUUAAUCACUUUAUCGCCCAACUAUAAACGUUGUGGGAUUUUGUGAAUGGCACAGUUCAUAACACAGGGACGCUUGAAGCUGUUCUUCAGUGGCGAGGGAGUGUCACUUGGGUUGGAACCCAAAGACCCAUUUCACUCUAAGCUCAGAUCAGUUCAAACCCACAUGCGCGGGCUCAGGUUUCUUGGCUCUACAAAAACUCGACUUUUCUUCUCUUCUUCUUCUUCAUCUGUGAACAACAAGUCCAGCAAUUUCAGUGCGGAGGCAAGCCUUAAUGUUAGUGAUGAUGAAGGUGUUUAUGACGAGGAUGAUGGUGUUGGUUACGAUGACGAGUUUAAGAGGGAUGAUUUAGCUGAUUUCAGAGGGCUGGUCUUGGACAUCUCAUACAGGCCAAUCAAUGUUGUCUGCUGGAAGCGUGCUAUUUGUUUGGAAUUCAUGGAGAAGGCGGAUGUACUAGAAUAUUAUGAUCAGACAGUAAAUUCCCCAAGUGGAUCCUUCUACAUACCAGCGGUCUUGAGGGUUCCCAAUUUACUGCAGGUUAUAAAGAGGAGAAGAAUCAAGAGCACCCUUAGUCGUAGAAACAUACUAAAUCGGGACGAUUAUACUUGUCAGUAUUGUUCUUCACAUGAAAAUUUAACCAUUGACCAUGUUUUUCCAGCUGCACGAGGCGGAGAAUGGAACUGGGAAAAUCUGGUUACUGCUUGUGCCAAAUGCAAUUCAAAGAAAGGUCAAAAAACUUUGGAGGAAGCAAAUAUGAAGCUGAUUAACAUCCCAAAGGUACCAAAAGACUAUGACAUAGUUUCCAUACCACUAACAAGUGCAGCAUUAAACAUGCUGACAAUAAGAAAGGGGACACCUGAAGAAUGGCGUCAAUAUCUGUCAAAGCCGUACUUAGAACCAUGAGGUUAUCCAUUGUGGCAACUGUAUAUUCCUGUGCUUUGUACAGAUUAAAUCGUUCUCAUUCUUAAUGCUGAAGUCGCCCAGACUAACCUCAAAUUUUAUGUAUUCCACUGCGGUGCAAGCAUUUUACUUUCUUUCCCUCAGAAAUUGCAUUUUGUAGCCCAAAAUAUGAUUCCACAAGGGAAAGGAUGAUUGUGUGGAUAACAAAUUAAUAUGUGACAUGACUGCGACUACUUCCCUUCUACAAGCUGCAUCUGAUUCAAGUUGGUACAAUUAAACCAUUUGAUAAU